rnacentral:ncRNA from 2 species
ACCACCAGGAGUGGAGCCUGCGGCUUAAAAA